rnacentral:rRNA from 1 species
AGAGUUUGAUUAUGGCUCAGGAUGAACGCUGGCGGCGUGCCUAACACAUGCAAGUCGAGCGAGAACCCCGGGAAACGAUCUUCGGAAAGUGGACUGGGCGGAAAGCGGCGGACGGGUGAGUAACGCGUAGACAACCUGCCCCGUACAGGGGGAUAGCCACCGGAAACGGUGAUUAAUACCCCAUGAAGCCGGAGUGCCGCAUGGCGCACCGGCCAAAGUUUUCUCGGUACGGGAUGGAUCUGCGUCCGAUUAGCUGGUUGGCGGGUAAAGGCCCACCAAGGCGACGAUCGGUAGCCGGCCUGAGAGGGUGAACGGCCACAUUGGAACUGAGACACGGUCCAGACUCCUGCGGGAGGCAGCAGUGGGGAAUAUUGCACAAAUGGAGGGAACUCUGAUGCAGCAACGCCGCGUGAACGAAGAAGGCCCUUGGGUCGUAAAGUUCUGUUCCGGGGGAAGAAGAAGGUGACGGUACCCCGGAAGAAAGCCCCGGCUAACUACGUGCCAGCCGCCGC